AGGGUGAAUUGGAGGGGCGAAAAGGACGCGGACCAAAAGCUAUGAUGGAAAAUUAUGAUUUUUUUUUUUAGAAAACACUCGACGAAGAAUUCUUGGAUUUGGUCUUUAGAUGGGCAAAACUAUUGUGGAGAGCCAGAAAAACUGACCCAUUAAUCAAUUUCAACGUUUCAGUUAAAUCGAGAAAAAAUAAAUAAAAACGUCUGACCUCAGUAGGUGGUGUCUAUUGAAGGCAAAUCGUGCUGUAGAUAUCUUAUGUCAAAAAAACAGGUAUCAUUAGUGAACAGCGUGCUGUCCCUUACCGGAUGUGUAGUAAUCACUUCAGACAAGUAGACAAAAAGUAACCAAGAAGAAAUACAAUUCAAAAUCUGUUUAGAAAAUAUAUUUGCAGCGUUGUUCAUUUUGAUGUACGAGUAUGUAAUAUUUCAUUACUUAUUUACAUUAUGUGUUUAUGUACGAAUAAAAUAAAUUAUUAUAUUUAUUAAAUGUUA